ACGAUUAUGAAUCGGUUGCUUCCUGUGCUGGCUUUUGCAAGUGCACGGAGGUGACUUUCAUUAUCCACCCCCUUCUUGUGAGCCUUUGGCCUCUGCUGGCUUUGGUCAGCAGAGGAUUUUUACACAAACUCGAAUGUAAUGAGAAAUACUGUGGUGCGCAAGCACUAAUGUA
rnacentral:misc_RNA from 1 species